CGUAGGUGGCAAGCGUUGUCCGGAAUUAUUGGGCGUAAAGCGCGCGCAGGUGGGAUAUUAAGUCUGGUGUUAAAGUUCGGGGCUCAACCCCGUGAAGCAUUUGGAAACUGAUAUUCUUGAGUGCAGGAGAGGAAAGUGGAAUUCCUAGUGUAGCGGUGAAAUGCGUAGAUAUUAGGAGGAACACCAGUGGCGAAGGCGACUUUCUGGACUGUGUCUGACACUGAGGCGCGAAAGCUAGGGUAGUGAACAGGAUUAGAUACCCUGGUAAUCCUAGCUGUAAACGAUGGGUACUAGGUGUAGGGGGUAUCGACCCCUCCUGUGCCGGAGUUAACGCAAUAAGUACCCCGCCUGGGGAGUACGGCCGCAAGGUUG
rnacentral:rRNA from 1 species